ACGGAGGGUGCAAGCGUUGUCCGGAUUUAUUGGGUUUAAAGGGUGCGUAGGCGGGUUAUUAAGUCAGUGGUGAAAGCCCACAGCUCAACUGUGGAACUGCCAUUGAUACUGGUAAUCUUGAAUUCAGUUAAGGUAGGCGGAAUUGAUGGUGUAGCGGUGAAAUGCAUAGAUACCAUCAAGAACACCGAUUGCGAAGGCAGCUUACUGGGCUUGAAUUGACGCUGAGGCACGAAAGCGUGGGGAGCGAACAGG
rnacentral:rRNA from 1 species